ACAACUUGGAUAAACCUAAUCUAAGUAAACUACUAACAAAUAAAAUAAUACCUCCUCUAUAUGUCUAACCAUUGGGCCCACAAAAAAAUUCAAACCUAAUCUAUUUCUAAUUUAAAAAUUAUCCUACAGUUUGGGUCCAUGGUAUUAUAAUGCUCCUAAUUAACAAAUACAGAUCCAAAACCCUGAUUUUGAGAUGAAACCACAUCAAACAGAUCUGA